rnacentral:lncRNA from 1 species
AGAAAAUGUAUGUAUCGUUUGUAAUUACUUCUCUCACCUGGGUGGAAUGAAGCAAAAGAAAACAGAAUUGUUCCAUUUUCUCCGUAACCAAAAUUUUAGGAGAGGACAGGUGUUCCUCUUAAUUCACAUGACAUCUUACUGGGAAGGAGCAGUCCUAGAAGUGAGAACUAAGAAUUCUACUUCUUUUCAUUAUUUAUUUUCAAAUGUGGUAGAAAGGUUUUGUUAGGGAGAGAUAAGCACUUUCCAUAAAACAAUGCGGUAGUGACAUGAGGUAAUUACAUGGUGACUGGGACACACCGCAUGGCAUACUGGAGAAAUUGCACGAUACCUACGUGAUGACUAUAGUAACGCUGGUUAGCGCUACCGUAUUAUCUCCUGAUAACUAGAUAAUUAGUUUGUGUCACAGAAGCACCCUAAAAGUAUGCCUGUUCCAGCUACUCUGGUAGGAAAAAAAAAAUAAACUUUUUUGCAAGGGGGAAAAAAAGCUAAUGAAGAAAGUUGCCAAGAACAGAUAUUUUGUAAUCUGUGCUAAAUCUCUGCUGGAAAACAUGAACAGUAACGAAGCUGAGAAGACAGUAAAAGAAAUUCGGGGCAAGGUGCCAGACGCCCAGACGGAAGGAGAAUGUGGACCAAAAGAUUGCGACAAUCGGUUCCUUGACCAUCAGUCUGUGGCCUGCCACUUUUCUUUAUAUGCAGCCGCUCUCUGCUCCCUGCCCCAAUGAACAUCUGCACUAGGCCCAAGCCUUGGAGUGAUUUACCUGAAGAGUGACAUCAUUGAUUUGGAAACUACUGUGAGUACACCGUGCCUCCAACGAAGGCUUCUUAGUUCGCUUAGUUUAAAAAACAAAAACAAACAAAACCCAAAACUCACACAAUUGUAAAUGCAGAUGAAAGUUCCGAUGGUUUCGUGUCUGGAACACAGGGAGGUCACCA